AUUGAACGCUGGCGGCAUGCCUAACACAUGCAAGUCGAGCGAACGGCGGACUGGUGAGUAAUUUAUGGGAAACUGCCUAAUGGAGGGGGAUAACUACUGGAAACGGUAGCUAAUUCCGCAUACUAUCUGAUGUGCCCAGAUGGGAUUAGCUAGUAGGUGGGGGAAAGGCUCACCUAGGCGACGAUCCCUAGCUGGUCUGAGAGGAUGAGCAGACACACUGGGACUGAGACACGGCCCAGACUCCUACGGGAGGCAGCAGUGGGGAAUAUUGGGCAAUGGGCGAAAGUCUGAUGCAGCCAUGCCGCGUGUGUGAAGAAGGUCUUAGGGUUGUAAAGCACUUUCAGCGGGGAGGCGGUAUCUACAGAGGAAGCAACGGCUAACUCCGUGCCAGCAGCCGCGGUAAUAC
rnacentral:rRNA from 1 species